rnacentral:lncRNA from 1 species
GCGAGGUGAGUCCAGGGACCGCUGAGGAUGCCAGACCAGCUGGAGGGCCACCGUCAGGGCUAAGUGGGGGUCUAUUUGAGUGAGAAUCUGAGGACUUUCUCCAUGACAGUAGUGGAGUUCAAGGUCAUGAGGAGGAUUGGAGGCAGCUGGGGGUUGGGGUCAGUAUCCUUCACAGAUUCAUUCUGUACAACCCCUACUACAUGCCAAGCCUGUUCUAGGUGCUGGGGACACAGUGGAGCUGGGACAUAGACUUGCAGAUAUGUCACUGCACAGCAUGUCAGCUGGGCUGUGUGCUGCAGGGACAGAGCCACAGAAGGGGGUUGCGAGUGCUCUCGGGUGGGACGGGCUCCAGUUGAAACAGUGUGGGGGUGGUGGGGGCUCCAUUUAAGUAGGAAUUGGAACUAGGUGAGGGACAGAGCCACAUGAGUACCCCGGGGGGACUAUUACUGCAGGUAGGGGACAGCAAGGACAAUGGCCCUGCAAUUGGAGCACACCUGUUGUGUGCUUUCCAAUGGCCCCUGGGCUCUGCUGAAAAUAACAGGAGGUAGAGAUUAUGCAGCCCCUUGUAGGACCUGGCAGGGAUGUGGUCUUGGACUCUAUGUGAGAUGGCAGUCACUGGACAAUUUGGGGCAGUUGGAAGGGUGGACCUACAUUUUCAGUGUCACUGUGCUCUGCUGAGAAUACAAUGGCCCCUUGGUACCCACGGGAGAUGGUCUUCAGGACCUCCCACAGGUACCCAUGUCUGCAGACGCUCAGGUCUCUUUUAUAAAUAAUGAAGGAUUUCCAUACGACCUACGCCCGUCCUUCCACAGACUUUCAGUCACCUCUGGGUGACUUAGAAUACCUAAGACAACGUGGAUGCUGCGUAAAUAGUGUACCAGCUGAUACUGCUUAGGGAAUAACUGCCAGAAAGAUCCUGUACCCGUUCAAUAUAGAUGCAAUUCCCCCCCCCCCAAACUUCUGACCCUCACGAGUCCACAGAUGUGGGAUCCAGGGCUGGGAGGGACAACUAAGAGUGGACAAGGACAGAAAGAGCAGAAGCAGUGAAAGGUGGCUGUGACGGUGCGCGCUGGGUUCUGGAGAG